UAUACCAAAAAGAGACAAGCAACGAUUGUCGGAUUACUUCGCAAAUAGCAAUCUCAGCUUUAUUGUAGUUAGAGAUAAUGUUUUCCAAUGUGCAUUCCGUUGCACAAACUUGAAUUAUUUUGUCUACUAUAUGAACCUAUGUCUAUGCAUUACCAGUAUUGAAAAGUAUCCAGUUACCGAUAACACUGGUUGUGUUACUACCUGUCAAAACGACUCAGUUUUCUGCUCAUCCGGAUUUGGAAUUCCGUUAUUCAAGUAUCAGACAGAUAUGGAGAUUGUACGACCGACAAUAUAUUCAUUUUGGUACCAUUGUGUUUAUAAGAAAGAUGGCUAUGAAUUUGAUGUAAAUUGCUAUUCUAGUUCAUAUUACUUUAGAUGCGACGGAAAGGAUAAUAUUGGUCAUCGAGCGAAUUGGGCUUAUGCUGUCAACAAUUGUACAAGUUUGAACACAACAUUGUCGAAUGCAGUCGGUAAUUCGUCAUCAGAUGUAUGGUCAAGAUAUUUUCGAUACAAAAAGUUAUCACCAGAUACUGACAAGAAAAGACGAAAAUGUGUAGCAGUUUUCAUAAACACUAAUAAAACAUCAAACAGGGAUUAUAUAACAUGGAGCCAUUAUCAACACAGGAAUUGUUCCGAAUUGCUCCCUUUCAUAUGCGUGGAAGAUAUUGAUAUGGAUACCAACGUUUCCAGUGUUACCAGUGUACAUUUAAACUCAAAUGUAACUGACAGUUCGACGUUACAGAACCCAUCUA